rnacentral:rRNA from 1 species
AUUGAACGCUGGCGGCAGGCCUAACACAUGCAAGUCGAACGGUAACAGGAAGCAGCUUGCUGCUUUGCUGCCGAGUGGCGGACGGGUGAGUAAUGUCUGGGAAACUGCCCGAUGGAGGGGGAUAACUACUGGAAACGGUAGCUAAUACCGCAUAACGUCGCAAGACCAAAGAGGGGGACCUUAGGGCCUCUUGCCAUCGGCUGUGCCCAGAUGGGAUUAGCUAGUAGGUGGGGUAACGGCUCACCUAGGCGACGAUCCCUAGCUGGUCUGAGAGGAUGACCAGCCACACUGGAACUGAGACACGGUCCAGACUCCUACGGGAGGCAGCAGUGGGGAAUAUUGCACAAUGGGCGCAAGCCUGAUGCAGCCAUGCCGCGUGUAUGAAGAAGGCCUUCGGGUUGUAAAGUACUUUCAGCGGGGAGGAAGGGAGUAAAGUUAAUACCUUUGCUCAUUGACGUUACCCGCAGAAGAAGCACCGGCUAACUCCGUG